rnacentral:rRNA from 1 species
UGGGGAAUAUUGGACAAUGGGCGAAAGCCUGAUCCAGCAAUACCGCGUGUGUGAAGAAGGCCUUCGGGUUGUAAAGCACUUUAAGUUGGGAAGAAAAAACUUUACCUAAUACGUGAAGUCUUGACGGUACCGACAGAAUAAGCACCGGUUAACUCUGUGCCAGCAGCCGCGGUAAUACAGAGGGUGCUAGCGUUAAUCGGAUUUACUGGGCGUAAAGCGUGCGUAGGUGGUUUGAUAAGUCGGUUGUGAAAGCCCCGGGCUCAACCUGGGAAUUGCGGCCGAUACUGUCAGACUCGAAAACGGUAGAGGGAGGUGGAACUCCAGGUGUAGCGGUGAAAUGCGUAGAUAUCUGGAAGAACAUCGAUGGCGAAGGCAGCCUCCUGGGCCUGUUUUGACACUGAGGCACGAAAGCGUGGGUAGCAAACA